GCCAAUAUGGGAUAGUGGUUUGAGUGCUGGACAGGGACUCCGGGAGACCAGGGUUCAAAUCCCUGGUUGGUCA